CCUGUGAGGGCGCGCGGAGGGGCGGGGCGGGAGAGUAGCGGGGCAGGGGAGCGGAGGGCAGCAGCGGCGGCGGCAGCGGCGGUCCCGGCCAGCUGCGGCGACUACCACCCGACCCGCGCGCUCGCAGCCGUUCUCCGAGGAGGAGGAGUUCCCAGAAGAGGAAGGAGGAGGAAAGCUUACUGCAUCCUUGCUGAAAGCACCACCAAAGUUACAGCCCUUGGUGUGAGGAAGAGCUACCAGCAAGACAGGCCAAGAGUCACCUGCAACCAUCUGUUUUCCUUGAUUCCUUGCCAUUAAGCUAUCAGGGUGCAGCAGAAGAGAGUUACCCAAGCACAGCUGGCUACUCCCUCUCUGGGCCUGUCAAACUUCUCAGCAGCAUGCCCCGGUGCUGCAGGCAUCACCAAGGCAGGGCUUCUUAGAUGUGUGGAAUCUCACGGAGCAAGUCUGUUUAAUCUGAGCCUGUUUGAAGGAGGCAGCAACACAGGAAAAGAAGAGUUGGAUGGACAGGCAUUCCCUGAUAGAGGAAGCCAAUUUUCAGGAGCUUAGUGAAAAAGAUUGAAACAUUCCCGUUUUCCAGUGUUGACAGUGAUCUUCCCCACCAUCAGUAGCUUCACUGAUCUGCUUUGGCCUGCUCUCUGCUGGGCCAGGGAGGAUGCCACUCUAUUGCAGUUUCCCUGACCCACAACAGGAGCAGGGACAGAGGCAGCUCUUGCACAGCUGGGAGAGAUACCGGGCAUCUCUGACCUUUGGGGAGAAGAGCAUGAGCAGCCCGAGAAAUGCAUUUUUCUUUCCAGCCUGAGCUGCAGCAUCCUGGCCUCAAGUGCAUCAUCAGAUAAAAUGCACUUUAGGCUGAAAGCAGACACAGAAACUGGUUUGAAUGGGGUUAGACAGAGCAUUCACCCAGGAAGGCUUCAGCACUCGACCACGCUUAUGGUGUUAUUGGGUUAGCGUUAAUGCAGCACAUGUGGUCCAGCAGCCAGAGGAAAUGGCUGGGGCCUUCCCCAGAAUUGAUGGCUUUAUCCCUUGCAUUAGCACCAACCUGCUGGCAGUGGCUGGCUUUGCUUGCAGCAGCAGCCAUUCUUCCUCUUCUGGCAUGUGUGCAGAGCCCUGCUUCAGUUGCAGAAGAAAACAAAAAAAAGGUGCUGCCGAUUGUACAUGUUCAUUCAAGCAGUGCUUGUCAUGACAGGGCAGUAGCAGGAUAUAGCUGUCCUUUGACAACAGCCCUAACUGGCUGGCGCAGAGCAGCCAUCCUUUCCAAGAGGCAGAAGCUGUUAGAGAGGGCAGGAAACAAUGACAGCAUCUGCUCGUGUAUCGUGACCUCGCCAGUCCUCCUGAGGGCUGCGUGUGGUGGAUGAGACGGAAGGCAUGCCCUACAAACCACCGCACCGAUUCCCUCAUGUGCAGGACGUGCCCUGCUGAAUGCCAAAAAUUACAACCACCCUACAAACCACAAUUAAAUGUGUUUAUUAAGUAAAACCACUAAUUUAGAGAUUAUUAUUGUAGAUAUAGAUGCAAUAUCAAUGCUUUAUUAAAGCUUAAUAAAGCUUUAAUAAACCUUCAGCUUGAUUUUGCAGGCUAAAAGCUCAGUUAUAAACUACUGGUGAGUUACAAGCAUGAGCAGCUGUACUGUAUUCAGGUUUAGUUCUCAUUUUCUGUCUUUGGCUCCUUGUAAAUCUACCUGCUUUUCUCCAGUGCUAACUUUUAAUUCAACCAAACUAAAUCUAGACAGAAUUGGUACAGCACUUUUUUUCUGUUAGCUGAUCACUGAGUCUAACUUAUCAGCUCUGUGGCUUGAUAUCUAGAAGCUUAAUACCAGGUCUUGGAAGCCUGUCUAUGCAAGACUACCAUCUUAACUAGCAAUACGAUAUCUGUGAGACCUCCACCAUCAGCAUACGCUUCCCUCAAGGAAGGACGAAAGGAAUGGAAGUGCUGAUCAAGAAGGGCCUCCCACAGCACCAGUGUAAUAAAACAGCCUUCCUCGAAGUGUGGGAGAUUCCAGGAGGCAUUCAAGGAAGCUCUGGUGAGGAGAAACAAUAUGCAGUGGGAUUUCAAAUAGUCCUUCUCUCCAGGGAGAGCCUCAAAUUGGGUUUUUUUUUCUUGAAGUGAGAAAAUCAAAAUGAUAAGCAAACAACAUUCCCAACUAGGCACUUGA